UACGAAGGGGGCUAGCGUUGCUCGGAAUUACUGGGCGUAAAGGGAGCGUAGGCGGACAUUUAAGUCAGGGGUGAAAUCCCAGAGCUCAACUCUGGAACUGCCUUUGAUACUGGAUGUCUUGAGUGUGAGAGAGGUAAGUGGAACUCCGAGUGUAGAGGUGAAAUUCGUAGAUAUUCGGAAGAACACCAGUGGCGAAGGCGACUCACUGGCCCGAUACUGACGCUGAGGCGCGAAAGCGUGGGGAGCAAACAGG
rnacentral:rRNA from 1 species